AAAUUGAAGAGUUUGAUCAUGGCUCAGAUUGAACGCUGGCGGCAGGCCUAACACAUGCAAGUCGAACGGUAACAGGAAACAGCUUGCUGUUUCGCUGACGAGUGGCGGACGGGUGAGUAAUGUCUGGGAAACUGCCUGAUGGAGGGGGAUAACUACUGGAAACGGUAGCUAAUACCGCAUAACGUCGCAAGACCAAAGAGGGGGACCUUAGGGCCUCUUGCCAUCGGAUGUGCCCAGAUGGGAUUAGCUAGUAGGUGGGGUAAAGGCUCACCUAGGCGACGAUCCCUAGCUGGUCUGAGAGGAUGACCAGCCACACUGGAACUGAGACACGGUCCAGACUCCUACGGGAGGCAGCAGUGGGGAAUAUUGCACAAUGGGCGCAAGCCUGAUGCAGCCAUGCCGCGUGUAUGAAGAAGGCCUUCGGGUUGUAAAGUACUUUCAGCGGGGAGGAAGGGAGUAAAGUUAAUACCUUUGCUCAUUGACGUUACCCGCAGAAGAAGCACCGGCUAACUCCGUGCCAGCAGCCGCGGUAAUACGGAGGGUGCAAGCGUUAAUCGGAAUUACUGGGCGUAAAGCGCACGCAGGCGGUUUGUUAAGUCAGAUGUGAAAUCCCCGGGCUCAACCUGGGAACUGCAUCUGAUACUGGCAAGCUUGAGUCUCGUAGAGGGGGGGUAGAAUUCCAGGUGUAGCGGUGAAAUGCGUAGAGAUCUGGAGGAAUACCGGUGGCGAAGGCGGCCCCCUGGACGAAGACUGACGCUCAGGUGCGAAAGCGUGGGGAGCAAACAGGAUUAGAUACCCUGGUAGUCCACGCCGUAAACGAUGUCGACUUGGAGGUUGUGCCCUUGAGGCGUGGCUUCCGGAGCUAACGCGUUAAGUCGACCGCCUGGGGAGUACGGCCGCAAGGUUAAAACUCAAAUGAAUUGACGGGGGCCCGCACAAGCGGUGGAGCAUGUGGUUUAAUUCGAUGCAACGCGAAGAACCUUACCUGGUCUUGACAUCCACGGAAGUUUUCAGAGAUGAGAAUGUGCCUUCGGGAACCGUGAGACAGGUGCUGCAUGGCUGUCGUCAGCUCGUGUUGUGAAAUGUUGGGUUAAGUCCCGCAACGAGCGCAACCCUUAUCCUUUGUUGCCAGCGGUCCGGCCGGGAACUCAAAGGAGACUGCCAGUGAUAAACUGGAGGAAGGUGGGGAUGACGUCAAGUCAUCAUGGCCCUUACGACCAGGGCUACACACGUGCUACAAUGGCGCAUACAAAGAGAAGCGACCUCGCGAGAGCAAGCGGACCUCAUAAAGUGCGUCGUAGUCCGGAUUGGAGUCUGCAACUCGACUCCAUGAAGUCGGAAUCGCUAGUAAUCGUGGAUCAGAAUGCCACGGUGAAUACGUUCCCGGGCCUUGUACACACCGCCCGUCACACCAUGGGAGUGGGUUGCAAAAGAAGUAGGUAGCUUAACCUUCGGGAGGGCGCUUACCACUUUGUGAUUCAUGACUGGGGUGAAGUCGUAACAAGGUAACCGUAGGGGAACCUGCGGUUGGAUCACCUCCUUA
rnacentral:rRNA from 1 species